rnacentral:rRNA from 1 species
GACGAACGCUGGCGGCGUGCCUAAUACAUGCAAGUAGAACGCACAGUUUAUACCGUAGCUUGCUACACCAUAAACUGUGAGUUGCGAACGGGUGAGUAACGCGUAGGUAACCUGCCUGGAAGCGGGGGAUAACUAUUGGAAACGAUAGCUAAUACCGCAUAAUAUUAAUUAUUGCAUGAUAAUUGAUUGAAAGAUGCAAUUGCAUCACUACCAGAUGGACCUGCGUUGUAUUAGCUAGUAGGUGAGGUAACGGCUCACCUAGGCGACGAUACAUAGCCGACCUGGGAGGGUGAUCGGCCACACUGGGACUGAGACACGGCCCAGACUCCUACGGGAGGCAGCAGUAGGGAAUCUUCGGCAAUGGACGAAAGUCUGACCGAGCAACGCCGCGUGAGUGAAGAAGGUUUUCGGAUCGUAAAGCUCUGUUGUAAGAGAAGAACGGGUGUGAGAGUGGAAAGUUCACACUGUGACGGUAUCUUACCAGAAAGGGACGGCUAACUACGUG